UCGGCCCUGGAUCAAGGCCUGCAGUCGCCGGAGGCUGCCGGUUUCAAGCAGGAGCCCAGGGAAAGUCUUUCUGUUGUCUGUUGGUCAUGUCCGAGUGUCCGUGGUGUGGUCAGUUCAUUAGAAAGAAACAGUC
ensembl:snoRNA